rnacentral:rRNA from 1 species
GACGAACGCUGGCGGCGUGCUUAACACAUGCAAGUCGGACGAUGAAGCCGGAGCUUGCUCUGGUGAAUUAGUGGCGAACGGGUGAGUAACACGUGAGUAACCUGCCCUUGACUCUGGGAUAACUGCGGGAAACUGUAGCUAAUACCGGAUACGACCCUCGGAGGCAUCUCCUGGGGGUGGAAAGAAUUUCGGUCAAGGACGGACUCGCGGCCUAUCAGCUAGUUGGUGAGGUAAAGGCUCACCAAGGCGGCGACGGGUAGCCGGCCUGAGAGGGUGACCGGCCACACUGGGACUGAGACACGGCCCAGACUCCUACGGGAGGCAGCAGUGGGGAAUAUUGCACAAUGGGCGCAAGCCUGAUGCAGCAACGCCGCGUGAGGGAUGACGGCCUUCGGGUUGUAAACCUCUUUUAGCAGGGAAGAAGCGAAAGUGACGGUACCUGCAGAAAAAGCACCGGCUAACUACGUGCCAGCCGCCGCCGUAA